AUCUACGGCCAUGCCACCCUGAACGUGCCUGAUCUCGUCUGAUCUUGGAAGCUAAGCAUGGGUGGGCCUGGUUAGUACUUGGAUGGGAGACCACCUAGGAAUACCAGGUGCUGUAAGCA
rnacentral:rRNA from 1 species